AUUGAACGCUGGCGGCAGGCUUAACACAUGCAAGUCGAGCGGAGAUGAGGUGCUUGCAUCCUAUCUUAGCGGCGGACGGGUGAGUAAUGCUUAGGAAUCUGCCUAUUAGUGGGGGACAACAUUCCGAAAGGAAUGCUAAUACCGCAUACGUCCUACGGGAGAAAGCAGGGGAUCUUCGGACCUUGCGCUAAUAGAUGAGCCUAAGUCGGAUUAGCUAGUUGGUGGGGUAAAGGCCUACCAAGGCGACGAUCUGUAGCGGGUCUGAGAGGAUGAUCCGCCACACUGGGACUGAGACACGGCCCAGACUCCUACGGGAGGCAGCAGUGGGGAAUAUUGGACAAUGGGGGGAACCCUGAUCCAGCCAUGCCGCGUGUGUGAAGAAGGCCUUAUGGUUGUAGAGCACUUUAAGCGAGGAGGAGGCUACUGAGACUAAUACUCUUGGAUAGUGGACGUUACUCGCAGAAUAAGCACCGGCUAACUCUGUGCCAGCCGCCGCCGUAAAAC
rnacentral:rRNA from 1 species